rnacentral:rRNA from 1 species
UACAGAGGUCUCAAGCGUUGUUCGGAUUCAUUGGGCGUAAAGGGUGCGUAGGCGGCGCGGUAAGUCGGGUGUGAAAUUUCGAGGCUUAACUUCGAAACUGCAUUCGAUACUGCCGUGCUUGAGGACUGGAGAGGAGACUGGAAUUUACGGUGUAGCGGUGAAAUGCGUAGAUAUCAGGAGGAAUACCGGUGGCGAAAGCGACUCUCUGGACGGCAACUGACGCUGAGGCACGAAAGCGUGGGGAGCAAACGGG